UUUUCUUUAAUAAUAUUUGUUUAAUAUUUUACUGAUUUUUUCAUCUUUUUCUUGGUUUUUCACAUUUGUCGGGAAAAUCGAAAAAUGAUCUCCCUAAAGUACCUUCCUAGUCCGAUUUCCUUUCAGAAAAAGUGCUAUAUUAUUUUAAACCUGAAAGAAAUUGUUAGUAGAAAUGUUUGUACAACAAAUUGAAAGGUAUUUUGUGAUUAAUAUAGUCAGAUAGAGCGAUGGCAUUGGGUCUCUAGGUACACCCAAAAUGCAUUUGUUUUUU